rnacentral:rRNA from 1 species
UACAGAGGUCUCGAGCGUUAGGCGGAAUCACUGGGCUUAAAGCGUGUGUAGGCGGAUCGGUAAGUACCUUGUGAAAUCCCACAGCUUAACUGUGGAACUGCUUGGUAUACUGCCAGUCUUGAGCCAGCUAGGGGCUACCGGAACAAAUGGUGGAGCGGUGAAAUGCGUAGAUAUCGCCUGGAACGCCGAAGGUGAAAACAGUCUGCUGGGGGCGUACCGACGCUGAGACACGAAAGCCAGGGGAGCGAACGGG